rnacentral:ncRNA from 1 species
GGUAGUAGCAAAUAUUCAAAUGAGAACUUUGAAGAGUGAAGUGGGGAAAUGUUCCAUGUGAACAUCACUUGGACAUGGCCGGUUAGUCGAUCCUAAGAGAUGGGGAAUAUUUGUAUCAAGGGUGCACUCUGCAUGAACAUCGAAAGAGAAUUGGGUUAAUAUUCCCAAAAUGAGACAUGAUGGUGGAUGACAAUGUUAGGAAAUGUGGAAGAGUUAUCUUUUCUUUUUAACGACUUUCCCACCCUGAAACUGGUUCAACCAGAGAUAGUGUCCAACAUAUGGAAGAGCACCACAUGUCUUGCAGUGUUUGGUGCCCCCUCAACGACCAUUGAAAUUAUGGAGAACCGAGUACCAUCCAUGCCUGAUCAUACUCAUAUCUUCCUCCUUGGAUUUUUCAAUGCCC